UGUGGGGACAAGAGGCUCUCACAAUUCUCCAGCACUUCCCAGCAUCAUUUAAGCUCCAGAAAACACUGUCCUGAAACACUCUGAGGGGAGAGAGCGAUAUUCAGGAUAGAGCCCAAUCCCAAAUGGAAUGUUUUCCUUUUGGUUUUAUUUGAAUAUAGUUUGCUUCAUUCCAACCAGAAUUGCCACAGCCAAAGAGAACUGUCUCUAAGCGAUUCAAGUUCUGUGUUAACGCCAACAAAGCAACUUGCUGGGGAAACAACAAAACCGCUUCCACAUCGAAGCUUGGUUUGCAUGAGUGAGCAACCUCUAGAAACACCUCCAGCUCCAUCUGUGUUUGGAAGGGACAAAGGAUGUAACAGGAAGAACCCAGGAUGGCUGGUGUAGAGGAGGACCUCUCAGAGGAAGGAACAAUUGGGCUCGCUCUUAAAGGGACUGCUUCCUACAUACAAUCUAGAGUCACCUAGAAGUCAAACUGCUGGGAAAAUUGUGAAGAAUUGUUUAGAUUAAGUUAUGCUCUGAGCACACCUGCGUGACUGGGUUAACUGAAGUGGAAAACCCAACCUUAAGGAGGACGCCACCAUUCACUGUGCUUGGGUUCCCGAUUGCAUAAUACAGUGGAGGCAAUUGAACAUUUAUCAUUGUCUACUUCCUGACUGCAGACGCAAUGUGACAAGCUGCCUCGAGUUCCUGUUGUUAUGACUCCCCUGUUCGCUCAAACUACAGAAGAUCAUUGGAUUCCCCUUGAGCUAUGUUUUCAGGCAGUUAUUAGCUUCUGACAUCAGUACUGAGGCCCACACUCAGCUCCUCUGCAAGAAGAGCAAGUACUUUUCACUACUGAG